ACUCAAAUGAAUAGACGGGGGCCCGCACAAGCGGUGGAGCAUGUGGUUUAAUUCGAUGCAACGCGAAGAACCUUACCAAGGCUUGACAUCUCCUUGACGGUCAUAGAGAUAUGGCUUCCCUUCGGGGCAGGGAUGACAGGUGGUGCAUGGUUGUCGUCAGCUCGUGUCGUGAGAUGUUGGGUUAAGUCCCGCAACGAGCGCAACCCUUAUCCUUAGUAGCCAUCAUUUAGUUGGGCACUUUAAGGAGACUGCCGUGGAUAACACGGAGGAAGGUGGGGACGACGUCAAAUCAUCAUGCCCUUUAUGUCUUGGGCAACACACGUGCUACAAUGGCUGCAACAAAGUGACGCGAGCGCGCGAGCGUAAGCAAAACACAAAAAAGCAGUCCCAGUUCGGAUUGUAGUCUGCAACUCGACUAUAUGAAGCUGGAAUCGCUAGUAAUCGCGAAUCAGCAUGUCGCGGUGAAUACGUUCCCGGGCCUUGUACACACCGCCCGU
rnacentral:rRNA from 1 species